rnacentral:rRNA from 1 species
AUUGAACGCUGGCGGCAUGCUUUACACAUGCAAGUCGAACGGCAGCACGGGCUUCGGCCUGGUGGCGAGUGGCGAACGGGUGAGUAAUAUAUCGGAACGUACCCAGAAGUGGGGGAUAACGUAGCGAAAGUUACGCUAAUACCGCAUACGAUCUAUGGAUGAAAGCAGGGGACCGCAAGGCCUUGUGCUCCUGGAGCGGCCGAUAUCUGAUUAGCUAGUUGGUGAGGUAAAGGCUCACCAAGGCGACGAUCAGUAGCUGGUCUGAGAGGACGACCAGCCACACUGGAACUGAGACACGGUCCAGACUCCUACGGGAGGCAGCAGUGGGGAAUUUUGGGCAAUGGGCGCAAGCCUGAUCCAGCAAUGCCGCGUGAGUGAAGAAGGCCUUCGGGUUGUAAAGCUCUUUUGUCAGGGAAGAAACGGUAGAGGCUAAUAUCCUUUGCUAAUGACGGUACCUGAAGAAUAAGCACCGGCUAACUACGUG